GGAGAGGUGGCCGAGCGGUCGAAGGCGCGCGCCUGCUAAGCGCGUGUAGGCCGAAAGGUCUACCCUGGGUUCAAAUCCCAGCCUCUCCG
rnacentral:tRNA from 1 species